rnacentral:rRNA from 1 species
UCCCGGUGAUUGGAGCGCUGUGGCACCACUCCUUCCCAUUCCGAACAGGAUAGUGAAACGCAGCAGCGGGUACGAUACUGACUUGGAAACGAGUUGGGACAAUACCUCAUCGCCGGG